rnacentral:lncRNA from 1 species
AUGGACGGAACAGGGCUGGGAGCAGCACUUAUGAAUCACCCCGAGCAGUUGCUCUUUGCCCCAGGGGACCCACUCACACAUUCCCAAGGGAGCCAGUGCCUGGGAGACAUGACAUCAUUGUCACCAGGCAAGGAGUUUCAUCCACGUGUGGCCUGGGAGCUCAUUCCCAGGGGUUACACCCAAGCUUCUCAGGAUGAGACAGCCAAAUCAAAGAUAAUGGGGAGCUUUGAUUUUCAUACUGCCAUGUUUCUCUAGUGAUCUGGAGUAAAGAGCAAAGGUCAAAUACUUGAGGUCUGUCAUGGAUCUGUACACAGCCUCCCUGAGUCUCCAGCCUCAAAGUAAGAGACCUGUAUGUACAUCGAGGGGUGGGAGGGGUGUGACAUGGCAGAUGGGUGAGACUCAUAUGUUCACUCAUCCAGUACUUACUGAGCACAGGGCAGUUGCAGUAAACAGAGGAGCAAAAUUCUUGUUCUCCAUCUCUAGAGAGUAUAGACAGACUCUAAACAGACAGGCAGACACAGAGCCAGAAGUAAUAGAGCUGUAGGAAACAGAACAAAAACCAAGAGCCAGGGCUGGAGAGAUGGGUCUGUGGUUAAGAACAUUGGCUGCUCUUCCAGAGGACCCAGGUUGGGUACCCAGCACCCACAUGGAGACUCACAGCCAUCUGUAACUCCAUUUUCAACUCCCUCUUCUGGCCUCCGUGGACACCAGACACACAUAAUGCACAGACAUAAAUGAGGGCAAAACACUCAUGCACAUAAAAUAAAUAACAUUUUUUAAAGGAAGGGAUCA